rnacentral:rRNA from 1 species
UACGUAGGGUGCGAGCGUUAAUCGGAAUUACUGGGCGUAAAGCGUGCGCAGGCGGUUCGUUAUGUCCGAUGUGAAAGCCCCGAGCUCAACUUGGGAAUGGCAUUGGAAACUGGCGGGCUGGAGUGUGGCAGAGGGGGGUGGAAUUCCACGUGUAGCAGUGAAAUGCGCAGAUAUCAGGAGGAACACCGGUGGCGAAGGCGGUUCUCUGGGCCUGUACUGACGCUGGGGUGCGAAAGCAUGGGGAGCGAACAGG